rnacentral:rRNA from 1 species
UACAGCAGCGAUAUCACCCUGCAGCCUAAGACUGGUUGCCCACUGAAACUAAGCAGGGUUGAGCCUGGUUAGUACCUGGAUGGGAGACCUCCUGAUCGGCCAAAUUGCCACCGCUGGCC